rfam:Peniophora sp. CONT PENSPscaffold_6_Cont11, whole genome shotgun sequence.
GGCUCAAUGGUCUAGUCGCAUGAUUCCUGCUUUGGGUGGUUCAUCCAAUCGAUUGCAGGAGGUCCCGGGUUCAAUUCCCGGUUGAGCCC